rnacentral:rRNA from 1 species
AAUAGAUACUCCGGUAGUCCACGCCGUAAACGAUGAGUGCUAAGUGUUAGAGGGUUUCCGCCCUUUAGUGCUGCAGCUAACGCAUUAAGCACUCCGCCUGGGGAGUACGGCCGCAAGGCUGAAACUCAAAGGAAUUGACGGGGGCCCGCACAAGCGGUGGAGCAUGUGGUUUAAUUCGAAGCAACGCGAAGAAUCUUACCAGGUCUUGACAUCCUCUGCCAACCCUAGAGAUAGGGCGUUCCCUUUCGGGGGACAGAGUGACAGGUGGUGCAUGGUUGUCGUCAGCUCGUGUCGUGAGAUGUUGGGUUAAGUCCCGCAACGAGCGCAACCCUUGAUCUUAGUUGCCAGCAUUCAGUUGGGCACUCUAAGGUGACUGCCGGUGACAAACCGGAGGAAGGUGGGGAUGACGUCAAAUCAUCAUGCCCCUUAUGACCUGGGCUACACACGUGCUACAAUGGAUGGUACAAAGAGCUGCGAACCCGCGAGGGUAAGCGAAUCUCAUAAAGCCAUUCUCAGUUCGGAUUGGU